CAAUAGCGUAUACUAGUGUUGUUGCAGUUAAAAAGCUCGUAGUUGAACUUCUGGUAGGAGUGUCCCGGCCUUUUUGUUUUUACAAAUUGUAUGCUGUGUGACAUCUCUGGCCAUCCUUCUUCUUUGUUUAAAGAAGAUCUUUCACUGUAAAAAAAUUAGGGUGUUCAAAGCAAAAGUUUCUUUGGAAUAUAUUAGUAUGGGAUGAUAAGAUAGGCUCUAGAUGCUAUUUUGUUGGUUUGCACAUUUAGAGAAUGAUUAACAGGGACAGUUGGGGGUAUUCGUAUUUACAUGUCAGAGGUGAAAUUCUUGGAUUUUGGAAAGACGAACUACUGCGAAAGCAUUUACCAAGGAUGUUUUCAUUAA
rnacentral:rRNA from 1 species